UCACUCUGGUUUCUCUUCAAUCCCGCGCAUAAAUCUUUCGCCUUUUACUAAAGAUUUCAGUGGAGAGGAACACUCUAAUGAGUCUAUAGACAUUUUUUAUAGCCAACUGCAGGGUAGUUAAU